UGCAUCAGCCGGGAAUCGAACUCGAACCCGGGCCGCCCGCGUGGCAGGCGAGCAUCCUACCACUGAACACCGAUGC
rnacentral:tRNA from 1 species